UCUUUCAAGGAAGAUCAGGCUUUAAAGCCGGGCCUUGAAAUUCAAAGGCAGCAAGCUUUGUUAAUAUGCUUGCGGGACUUCC
rnacentral:ncRNA from 1 species